ensembl:lncRNA
ACGUGUUUGCAUUGCUGUGUUUUCAUUUUCCAGGUCAUUAACACUGCUUAGAACGGCUCUAUCUAGGCUAGUUUCACUCAGUGCAGAGAUUUAGGAAGCACUGCUGGUGGAGUGUUCAGGCCUGGAGAUCACUCUGUAAGGUUCAAAGUGUGUAAGAAAGUAAGAGGAAGUAGUGUAAUCUCCAGGCACACAUAUAGAAAUCCGUCUAUUCUCUAUAGAGAGGUACCAUUUGCUAAUAAGGAAGUAAGCGCAGGAACAAUACUCACAGCCUGGCAAGGCGGGCACAUGGGCAGCCAAUCAGGUACGCGAUGCCUCCUCAACCCCGGCUGAAUGGCAUCGGCCCUCCCCUUGCUCUGCUCGCUCUCCCCUUUUUCCCCCCACCGCCACCGCUCCGCAGCUGCCCGGGAUGAUUUUAUAAACAUUUUGCCAGCAGAUCAAUAGCUGUAUUGAUCAACCAUUGUGAGAGUGAUCUGUCUAAAACCCCCAGCAGCCUGCAGCUCCGAGAGAGGGAGGAGCGAAAGAGAGAGAGAGAGAGAGAGGCUGCAGAGAGGAUGAAGAAAGGGAAAGAGUCAGAGAGCGCAAGAGAGAAGAGAGAGAGGAAAAGAGAGAGAGAGAGAGAGAGAGAGAGGCUGUAGCCACAGAGAGAGAAAGAGGUAGUGGGGAGAGAAGGGGAGAGCCAGAUGGAAAGAGAGAGCUGAAGGUGAGCAAGUGGACGCGAGGAACGGGAGCGGCGGCAGAAACCGCAUUCGCGCCGAAACACAUUCUAAUCGCUUUCUCGUUAAGCGAGCGGAGGGAGGGGCGGCUAAUGAGUUUCGCUGUAAGUAUAGGAGGUAAUUGAUGGAGAGAGAGAGAGAGAGCGAGACAGAAUGGGCGAGAGAGCUAAUGUCUGAGCUAAUGGAGAUGAACACAGGUCUGGCCUGGAAAAUGCCUACGGUUGGUUGAGACACAGCCUCGUUCUGGAAAAAUGUCAGACGACGACGGCUUGCGGACGAGAAGGCCCUGAAAGGGACUUAAUUCGUAACGGAAUUUGGACACGUUCGAAAAUUAGGACUAUUGUGUUGAGGAUACAUCGACGUGGGAUUUUGUACAAUUUACCAUGGAUCACAAUGGAUCAAAAAAAAAAAAUGUGGAUAUCGCUAUGAAACCGGUGGACACAACGAGACCUCUGGAGGAAUUUACUCGCACGGAGUCCUCUAGGUGUGUUUGGAUAUUUGGGACAAAUUCCCAACCAAGGAAGCAUUCGGAUACGAUGGCUACGUGAAACUGGAGUUGCCGAGCACAACGGCGGUAAACAAUAGAUCUCUUGAUCGGGGAGAUCAGGCCUGGCCUGCCACUCUUGCCAUCACGUGGCUGAGACGAGAGUGUGUGUUUGUGUAUGUGUGUGUGUGUUGGGGGGGGCAGAGGAGUCACGCCAGAGAGCCCAUGGGAGGCCUGUAUCGAUCCAGCUCUGGGAGUAGUCCUGCUUCGUAGCGCGCUUUGUGAAGAAUUCACGUCUGGACAUAACAUAGUGAAUUGAUACAAGACUGGGAAGUAACCUCUGAUUGGUCAACGUAUGAAUUCUGAAGACUAAAAGAGAGCAGUGUGGCCUAAGAGACUACGUACGCACACACGCACAUAAUUCGACUCCGUAUAUCUCACUGACGCUGUGCCAUAGAACGCAUGUUAAUAAUAACCAGCGCUCCUAUAUUACUGACUAUUAGAUAUCGCGGAUGAGUAUUUAUAUCCCGUAGUAAAAAAAAAAAACCCAAACAAACCAUAAAACGUUUUAUUUAUUUAUUUAUUUAUUUAUUUUAUACACAGAAAUGAUUUUAUCUGUGAUUUGCGUUUCGCACAGUUGACUCGACACAUCAUUAACGUGUCUGUUGAAUAGAUCCACGGCAGAUUUAGCGUCUAAGGACUGAAUAAUGAGUACGGGGAAAUCAAUUAAUUGUUUCAUAAACCUUAACUAGUCAAUAAAUUAAGGCAAUUAGUACGAACAUAAAGGAGACGGCAACACGAGGCUCCCUCGAGACACGGACGCGUUCGUGCUUCAAAAGGCAGCGGGUGUUGUGUUAGCAGACUGAGAAUGUGCCACAGAUACGGAGAGGGUAAAAGAAAGAUUAAAAAAAAAAAAACAGGAAGUGAAGAGGAAGGAAGACUAUACGUGUACGUGUGUAAGCAUUACGUACACCUUUCCAAUUGAGCCGGAGUGAUCGGACGAGCAAUCGUCACACAUACCGUAUACUCGUCCUCGAACCAAAUACUUCACCUAGUGUAACUCUUCCUAAUCGUAUUCCUACGACAAAUCCGCUUCUAACGGAAGUCGAAGGAACUCUGUCAAUACGUCCUUGUAAAUGUGACUCUAAAUCUGUAGAAUUGAGAAGCCUGUGCGGUGAUGUCAACGCUACCUGCGCAGUUAUGAGUCUCUGACGGUGUAGGGAUACGACAAAAUCUUCUGAAAAGUUAACCGGAACUACUUUUUAGCGAAUCGCUCCGGUGUUAGAAAUGUGCAUGAAAGUCCAUUGGAACAGUUUCGGGAUCAUUUCUCUCGUAUACGUCUCGUCUGAACACCUUUAUUACUCAAGCGGAAGAGCGGGGGGUUUAAACUUGCGUUAAAGAGUCGCAUAUUUGAAACGUUUGAACACGUGGAUUGAGUUCCGCAGAGUUUGAGGUUUAACAGGUUUUCUGUUCUUUACCGUUAAGUCGCUCGUUAUUUAUUAUAGAGACACGGAUAAUCGGGUCGGUGCAGUUUUCUGUAAGGAGAUGUUUAUCGAACGUUUAUGGGAGGAGUCUCCAGUUCGAAGGAACUCUGUCAAUACGUCCUUGUAAAUGUGACUCUAAAUCUGUAGAAUUGAGAAGCCUGUGCGGUGAUGUCAACGCUACCUGCGCAGUUAUGAGUCUCUGACGGUGUAGGGAUACGACAAAAUCUUCUGAAAAGUUAACCGGAACUACUUUUUAGCGAAUCGCUCCGGUGUUAGAAAUGUGCAUGAAAGUCCAUUGGAACAGUUUCGGGAUCAUUUCUCUCGUAUACGUCUCGUCUGAACACCUUUAUUACUCACGCGGAAGAGCGGGGGGUUUAAACUUGCGUUAAAGAGUCGCAUAUUUGAAACGUUUGAACACGUGGAUUGAGUUCCGCAGAGUUUGAGGUUUAACAGGUUUUCUGUUCUUUACCGUUAAGUCGCUCGUUAUUUAUUAUAGAGACACGGAUAAUCGGGUCGGUGCAGUUUUCUGUAAGGAGAUGUUUAUCGAACGUUUAUGGGAGGAGUCUCCAGUGUCAGCACUUUCAGAGUUAAAGUUGGAGCUAAGUUUUCCGACAUCUUCAGGACAGAGGACUUCGCACUUUUUGCGGUCUCUUGGUAACAUAACAAGCCGC